UACAGAGGGUGCGAGCGUUAAUCGGAAUUACUGGGCGUAAAGGGCUCGUAGGCGGCCAACUAAGUCAGACGUGAAAUCCCUCGGCUUAACCGGGGAACUGCGUCUGAUACUGGUUGGCUUGAAUCCGGGAGAGGGAUGUGGAAUUCCAGGUGUAGCGGUGAAAUGCGUAGAUAUCUGGAGGAACACCGGUGGCGAAGGCGGCAUCCUGGACCGGUAUUGACGCUGAGGAGCGAAAGCCAGGGGAGCAAACGGG
rnacentral:rRNA from 1 species